rnacentral:rRNA from 1 species
AUUGAACGCUGGCGGCAUGCCUUACACAUGCAAGUCGAACGGCAGCACGGGAGCAAUCCUGGUGGCGAGUGGCGAACGGGUGAGUAAUACAUCGGAACGUGCCCAGUAGUGGGGGAUAGCCCGGCGAAAGCCGGAUUAAUACCGCAUACGACCUAUGGGUGAAAGCGGGGGAUCGCAAGACCUCGCGCUAUUUGAGCGGCCGAUGUCGGCUUAGCUAGUUGGGGGGGUAAAGGCUUACCAAGGCUACGAACCGUAGGUGGUCUGAGAGGACGGCCAGCCACACUGGGACUGAGACACUGCCCAGACUCCUACGGGAGGCAGCAGUGGGGAAUUUUGGACAAUGGGCGCAAGCCUGAUCCAGCCAUGCCGCGUGCGGGAAGAAGGCCUUCGGGUUGUAAACCGCUUUUGUCAGGGAAGAAACGGUCUGGGUUAAUACCUCGGACUAAUGACGGUACCUGAAGAAUAAGCACCGGCUAACUACGUGCCAGCCGCCGCGGUAACAC